rnacentral:ncRNA from 16 species
UAAAUACGUUAUUAAAUAACUCAUAUAAAUCCGAUAAUAUGGUUCGGUUGUUUCUACAGGAAUACCUUAAAUAUUCCCGCUAUGAGUAAAUCUAUGUAUAAU